UACGAAGGGGGGCUAGCGUUGCUCGGAAUCACUGGGCGUAAAGCGCACGUAGGCGGCUUCUUAAGUCAGGGGUGAAAUCCUGGAGCUCAACUCCAGAACUGCCUUUGAUACUGAGGAUCUUGAGUUCGGGAGAGGUGAGUGGAACUGCGAGUGUAGAGGUGAAAUUCGUAGAUAUUCGCAAGAACACCAGUGGCGAAGGCGGCUCACUGGCCCGAUACUGACGCUGAGGCACGAAAGCGUGGGGAGCAAACAGG
rnacentral:rRNA from 1 species